GCCCGGGUAGCCCAACGGUAGGAGGCACCGCGCCCAGAACGCGGGCAGUGCAGGUUCGAAUCCUGCUCCGGGUA
rnacentral:tRNA from 1 species